GAUGAACGCUGGCGGCGUGCCUAAUACAUGCCAGUCGAGCGAACGGACGUGAUGCUUUCUUCUCUUAUGUUAGCGGCCGUCGUGUGUGUCACACGUGCAUAACCUUCCUAUAUUACUGGUAUAACUUCUGGAAACCGGAUCUAAUACCGGCUAAUAUUUUGAACCGCAUGGUUCAUUAGUUAUUGUCGGUCUUGCUGUCUCUUCUAGAUUGUUCCUCGCUGCAUUAGCUAGUUGGUAAGGUAACGGCUUACCAAGGCAACGAUGCAUAGCCGACCUGAGAGGGGGAUCGGAAAAACUGGAACUGAGACACGGACCAGACUACUACGGGAGGCAGCAGUAGGGAAUGUUACGAAAUGGGCGAAAGCAUGACGGAGCAACGCCGAGUGAGUGAAGAAGGUAUUCGGAUCGUAAAAAACGGUUAUUAGGGAAGAAAAGAUGUGUAAGUAAAAGUGAACAUCAUGACGGUACCUAAUAAGAAAGCAACGGCUAACUACGUG
rnacentral:rRNA from 1 species